CCAGCUCCAAUAGCGUAUAUUAAAGUUGUUGCCGUUAAAAAGCUCGUAGUUGAACCUUGGCCCUGGCUGAUCUGUCCUCCUAAUCGAGCGCACGGAUUCGGUCGGGGCUUUCCUUCUGGGGAGCCCCAUGCCCUUCACUGGGUGUGGCGGGGAACCAGGACUUUUACCUUGAAAAAAUUAGAGUGUUCAAAGCAGGCCUUUGCUCGAAUACAUUAGCAUGGAAUAAUAGAAUAGGACAUCGGUUCUAUUUUGUUGGUUUCUAGGACCGCUGUAAUGAUUAAUAGGGUCAGUCGGGGGCGUCAGUAUUCAAUUGUCAGAGGUGAAAUUCUUGGAUUUAUUGAAGACUAACUACUGCGAAAGCAUUCGCCAAGGAUGUUUUCAUUAAUCAGUGAACGAAAGUUAGGGGAUCGAAGACGAUCAGAUACCGUCGUAGUCUUAACCAUAAACUAUGCCGACUAGGGAUUGGUGGUUGUCCUUUUGGAUUCCAUCAGCACCUUAUGAGAAAUCAAAGUCUUUGGGUUCCGGGGGGAGUAUGGUCGCAAGGCUGAAACUUAAAGAAAUUGACGGAAGGGCACCACCAGGAGUGGAGCCUGCGGCUUAAUUCGACUCAAC
rnacentral:rRNA from 1 species